AACGAACGCUGGCGGCAUGCCUAACACAUGCAAGUCGAACGGACUGCUUCGGCAGUCAGUGGCGGACGGGUGAGUAACGCGUGGGAAUCUGCCCUGGGGUACGGAACAACGCCGGGAAACUGGCGCUAAUACCGUAUACGGCUUAGGAGCGAAAGAUUUAUCGCCCUGGGAUGAGCCCGCGUCGGAUUAGGUAGUUGGUGGGGUAAAAGCCUACCAAGCCUUCGAUCCGUAGCUGGUCUGAGAGGAUGAUCAGCCACACUGGGACUGAGACACGGCCCAGACUCCUACGGGAGGCAGCAGUGGGGAAUAUUGGACAAUGGGCGAAAGCCUGAUCCAGCAAUGCCGCGUGAGUGAUGAAGGCCUUAGGGUUGUAAAGCUCUUUUACCCGGGAUGAUAAUGACAGUACCGGGAGAAUAAGCCCCGGCUAACUCCGUGCCAGCCGCCGCAGUAA
rnacentral:rRNA from 1 species